rnacentral:rRNA from 1 species
GUGGAGCAUGUGGCUUAAUUUGACUCAACGCGGGAAAUCUUACCGGGUCCGGACACACUGAGGAUUGACAGGCAAUAUUAAAAUUCUGCAUCAUGACUUCGGUUAUGUUUGUAUGAAUUUUAUGUUAAAUAUGCUAGUCCUUUCAUGAUUAUGUGAUAGGUGGUGCAUGGCCGUUCUUAGUUCGUGGAGUGAUUUGUCUGCUUAAUUGCGUUUCACUAAGGGCUUAUAACUAAUACGUGUAUUGUCGGUACUUUGACCCCAGCUUUGAAAUAUAAGUUGUGAGUGUCUUAGUUUGCUUGACUUACACAAAUGAGUCCUGAAAGCAACGAACGUGACCGCAACCUCUUGUUGCCUUUCAACCAAAGCUUCAAAUUUCAUCGUGGGCUUUUUCAAUUUUUUUUGAUUAAGUUUAUCGUGUGAUUUUUUGACAAAAAAAGGCCUUUAAACUAGAGGGACCGCUGUUACUUUCUUAAACCAGAGGAAGGUUGCGGCAAUAACAGGUCUGUGAUGCCCUUAGAUGUUCCGGGCUGCACACGUGCUACAAUGAUUAUUGCAGUGAGCAUCUCAUUUAUUACACACUGUUUGUGCGAGUCUAUUUAUUGACUGCUUAGUCUCUGAUUAGGUCUAGUACUUUAAAUAUGUACUUUGCACACAGUAAAGCCUGCUUCGAAAGUAAGUGGGUAAUCAAUUAGAAGUAAUGAUUUCCCAAAUUCAUAGCACACAUAUAUACGGCACUUUUACCCAACGUAAAGCUUGUCUUUCGUUCUGUGUGUAUUAGUGUAUUUUUCCGUAUGUGCAAUUGUCAAUUCAUGGUGGGGACAGACCAUUGUUAAUUGUUGGUCUCGGUCUUAACUAGGAAUGCCUUGUACGGGUCUUUGGUUCAACAAACCACCCGGAAUACGUCCCUGCCCUUUGUACACACCGCCCGUCGCUCUUACCGAUGGACUUCUCUGUGAGUUUGAGGGACUGGGUACUGCGACAAAUGAAUUUAUUCAUUUAUCAUCGCUACCACCUACGGAAACUUAAACGAACAGUGUGGUCUAAAG